rnacentral:rRNA from 1 species
GUAGGUGGCAAGCGUUGUCCGGAAUUAUUGGGCGUAAAGCGCGCGCAGGCGGUUCUUUAAGUCUGAUGUGAAAGCCCACGGCUCAACCGUGGAGAGUCAUUGGAAACUGGAGAACUUGAGUACAGAAGAGGAAAGCGGAAUUCCACGUGUAGCGGUGAAAUGCGUAGAGAUGUGGAGGAACACCAGUGGCGAAGGCGGCUUUCUGGUCUGUAACUGACGCUGAGGCGCGAAAGCGUGGGGAGCAAACAGGAUUAGAUACCCUGGUAGUCCACGCCGUAAACGAUGAGUGCUAAGUGUUAGGGGGGUUUUCCGCCCCCCUUAGUGCUGCAGCUAACGCAUUAAGCACUCCGCCUGGGAGUACGGCCGCAAGGCUG